GCGGCCGUUGCCGUGAGGCGCGCGGGCCGGGAGCGGCGCGGGGCUGCGGCCGUGCGGAGCCCCGUGUGCGGGGGGGCGGGGGAGGUGUGGGCGCGAGGGGGCCCCGGGCCGAUGGCAGCCGGCACAGCCCCACGGCUGAAGCGGCUGCUUACAAAGGCAGGGCGGCCGUGUGCGCUGCGGGAGCCCGAAAUGGACUGUGAGGGGCCCAACCGGGCCAGCCCGGGCCGGCAGGCUGCAGCGCGGCCGGGUGAGGCUCAGAGCUGGCAGGCCUCUGCCCCCUCCGCUGAGGGUUCGUGCGGCGGAGCUUCUGCCCGGAGGGGCCACAUCCGGCACGGCAGGAUUCGGCUGGUUAGUGUGCGAGGCCGGGAAAGCUCGCAGGCUGGGGCUCCGGGGCAGGCGGAGGAUGUCACAGCGCGGCUGACAUCACCGGGCUGCUGGAAGCUGGGUGCUGUCACAGUGCGUUUCCGUGACGACGACGGGCCCUCCCCAAGGAGCCGAGGGGAGCUUUGCUGCUCUGUUUGUUACCCGGCGCAGCCUGUCGCGGGGGGGCUGGGCAGACAGUCUUGCCAAAGAGGCCUGUGGUCCAGCACAACUGAGAGCACAAUCCUUUUGUUUCUCCUCGAACCCUGGCCAGGCUGUGGGGAGAAAAGCAAGAGGAGAAAGAGGGCACCGGGUGUUGGUGUUCCCCCGGACUGCCACGUGGAUCGGUUCAUUCAGUGGCAUCAAGGCUGGACCUGCUUGCAGCGGCUUUGGACACCUCGCCCACGGGAUGGAUGCAUUGCUGUACAACUCCCCAGUGGCCGGGAGAGCUUCUCCAGAUGCUCAUUGCCAACGGGGCUCCCCCGUGAGUGCGGAUCUGGGUGAUGGUGAGAGAUUGUGGCGAUCUGGGAUGCUGUGUCUGAUUACAUCCUGGAACAGAUGAAGCUGGACAAGGGAGUCCUGGUCCCGGGACUCGGGCUCUUUGCUGCGGUCCGAGAGCAAUUCCACAGCAAAGAAGUGGCGGUGUCGGUCCGAAGACCUGUCUUCCAGCUGGAACAUCGGGGUGCUGUGGCUGCAGGACCUCCAGUCGCCCACCGACAUCAUCCCCGACGAUGUCAAGAUUGAGCGGCUGAACUACCGGCAGCUCUCGCGAGCCACCGGCAUCUCGCUGCACGUGGUGCAGCGCUGCGUGCGAGAGA